rnacentral:rRNA from 1 species
GACGAACGCUGGCGGCGUGCCUAAUACAUGCAAGUAGAACGCUGAAGAGAGGAGCUUGCUCUUCUUGGAUGAGUUGCGAACGGGUGAGUAACGCGUAGGUAACCUGCCUUGUAGCGGGGGAUAACUAUUGGAAACGAUAGCUAAUACCGCAUAACAAUGGAUGACACAUGUCAUUUAUUUGAAAGGGGCAAUUGCUCCACUACAAGAUGGACCUGCGUUGUAUUAGCUAGUAGGUGAGGUAAUGGCUCACCUAGGCGACGAUACAUAGCCGACCUGAGAGGGUGAUCGGCCACACUGGGACUGAGAAACGGCCCAGACUCCUACGGGAGGCAGCAGUAGGGAAUCUUCGGCAAUGGGGGCAAGCCUGACCGAGCAACGCCGCGUGAGUGAAGAAGGUUUUCGGAUCGUAAAGCUCUGUUGUAAGUCAAGAACGGGUGUGAGAGUGGAAAGUUCACACUGUGACGGUAGCUUACCAGAAAGGGACGGCUAACUACGUG